AAUCAAAACUUCAUUACGAAAGAUCAAGCUGUCAAAUAACAACCCUCUUUCUUAUUGGUCAGCUUUCGUGAAUUGUUUACCUAGCACAGUUCAAGAGCACUGCAGAGCUCUCUUGAGCUGAGCUGCGGAUCCUGUGAAGUUUUCAGCAAAUAUGCAUCUUUUUUAAGCAAGCAAGCAACGCCAUGCGUGGUCGAUCACACCUGUGAUGAGCAAGGAAUGUGCAAGGUAACCAAAUAUUGGCCAAGCAAGCAAGGUUCUAGCGAGAAUGUGACCGCGGGAAUAUCCAUGAAGCAACUGAGAAGUUUAAUGCUCUGCAGCAACAAGAAAGGAAAGCAGUUUUAUAGAUGAGUAAUGCCAACAGAUUCAAUUUAAAAUUAUGAAUGUUCUGGCAGACAUGGCAGAAGUGAAAAUAAAUGAGAAGGAACAAGAAUCAUCA